rnacentral:misc_RNA from 1 species
GAUGAAGAACGUAGCGAAAUGCGACAAGUAAUGUGAAUUGCAGAAUUCAGUGAAUCAUCGAAUCUUUGAACGCACAUUGCGCCCGCCAGUAUUCUGGCGGGCAUGCCUGUCUGAGCGUCAUUUCAACCCUCAUGCCCCUAGGGCGUGGUGUUGGGGAUCGGCCAAAGCCCGCGAGGGACGGCCGGCCCCUAAAUCUAGUGGCGGACCCGUCGUGGCCUCCUCUGCGAAGUAGUGAUAUUCCGCAUCGGAGAGCGACGAGCCCCUGCCGUUAAACCCCCAACUUUCCAAGGUUGACCUCAGAUCAGGUAGGAAUACCCGCUGAACUUAAGCAUAUCAAUAAGCGGAGGA